GGGGCCAUAGCUCAGUUGGGAGAGCACCUGCCUUGCACGCAGGGGGUCGGGAGUUCGAUCCUCCCUGGCUCCACCA
rnacentral:tRNA from 1 species